rnacentral:rRNA from 1 species
GACGAACUGCCCAAACGUUGUUCGGAAUCACUGGGCUUAAAGGGCGCGUAGGCGGCGUAUCAAGUCAGGGGUGAAAUCCGGCAGCUCAACUGUCGAAGUGCCUUUGAUACUGAUGCGCUCGAGGGAGGUAGGGGUCUGUGGAACUUCUGGUGGAGCGGUGAAAUGCGUUGAUAUCAGGAGGAACACCGAUGGCGAAGGCAGGUCUCUGGGCCACUACUGACGCUGAGAAGCGAAAGCAUGGGGAGCGAACAGG